rnacentral:rRNA from 1 species
AAUAUUGGACAAUGGGCGAAAGCCUGAUCCAGCCAUGCCGCGUGUGUGAAGAAGGUCNNNGGAUUNUAAAGCACUUUAAGUUGNGAANAAGGGGUUGAAGCUAAUACCUUCAAUCGUUGACGUUACCAACAGAAUAAGCACCGGCUAACUCUGUGCCAGCAGCCGCGGUAAUACAGAGGGUGCAAGCGUUAAUCGGAAUUACUGGGCGUAAAGCGCGCGUAGGUGGUUCAGUAAGAUGGAAGUGAAAUCCCCGGGCUUAACCUGGGAACUGCUUUCAUAACUGCUGAGCUAGAGUACGGUAGAGGGUGGUGGAAUUUCCUGUGUAGCGGUGAAAUGCGUAGAUAUAGGAAGGAACACCAGUGGCGAAGGCGACUACCUGGACUGAUACUGACACUGAGGUGCGAAAGCGUGGGGAGCAAACAGG